rnacentral:lncRNA from 1 species
AGCGCCAGGAGCCCCACGAGCGCUGUGCCGCUCGCUCUGGGGGGAGACACUCUUCCCCAUCUCCAGAAGAGGCAGCUGUUUUAUUUUAUGUUCUCUUGUUCCCGAAGCUGAUGGCUUCCCCGGGAUUUCAGUGGCUGUGCUCUCGCUCCUUCCGUUAAGCAGGUAACCGCAGCACGUUCCUGCCCGCGGUCUCCCGGUCCCCCCGCACUCCUCGGCCGCUGAUCCCGGCUUGUGUUGAGGCCGCGGCGUGCGGGAGGAGCCACCAGGUGGCAACCUCUCUCCGUGCUGCUGCUGCGGGCUUCGGUGGCUUUUCCACCCUUCACUCAAGCUGGAGCAGACGCAGCUUUCUAGCUUGCUGCCUACCAGCACCGCUCAGCGCACGCUGGCAGAGCCGCGCCAAGCAUCGGAGGGGCAGCUUCUCGCUUUGCUGGAGGCACAGCAGCAGCUGCUUCAGCGUUGCUGACCUCGUCAGGAUCCCACCUCGUGCACUGACGUGGAACGAAGUAACCGGGGUGCUGGCACCGGGCAGCGAGCUGCAGGGCUGCGUGUGACAUAGGGAGCAACGUGAAGACGGGGUUGCGAAGCCUCGGUGACAAUAGCUGUGAAAACAGACGUGGCCAAAGGGUGUAAAUGUGCAGAGGAGAGGGAAUGCUGAGUUUGGGAUGAGCUGCCCUGGUUCUGCAGCCCCAACCACCAUCUGUUGCGCUGAGCUCCAUCUAGCUCAGGCCGUAGCUGUGCUCUCACCAGAUGUUAGCUUACAUGAGCUGCGUGUAAAUGUGAACUGGUGCGAGAGCUGUGGCCCGAUGUGCUUUCGGUAGGGUUUGACCUGCAGAAGUGACGACGUGCUAGCCGGCCUCUCGCUGCGGGGAUGCGCUCCAGAAGUCGCAGGGCUCUCGCUGAGGCCGCAUCUUGACUGCUGCGUCCUUCGGCGCCGGUCCUCCAGAACAGGGUGAGGAGCUGCCGUGGGACCGCCGUGGGGAUGGAAUCGUUAGCAAUUCCAGACCAUGAUGGGAAACAGAAGGAGUGAAGAAAAGCCGGGUGGAUCGAUUUAUUUAUUUAUUUUCCUCCAGAAAGUGGGAAUAAAGCUACGAGCCCAGAGCUGGCUGCUCAUGGAAUAUCUGCGGCGUGAUUGGCACUAAUGCUCUGCAGCCAGUGGGAGAAGAUACGUUACCCAAGUAAGUGAAAUGAGCACCGAGAUGUGGGAUAUAUGAUAACCUCUGAAACAGAAGGAAUAAGACCUCAGGCAACAGAGCUCCAAACAGGGCUCUGUCUUUUUUUCCAUUUCUGAGCCCGUGGUGUUCAAUUAACCCCUUUUCUCUGUGCUACGUUCUCCGUCCCGUGGGCUCGCAGAGCUUUGCCCACCCUUCUGGCUGAUGACACGUUAAACGCUUGGUUUGCGAUCAUCGAUUUUCUCCUGAAACGAUACCCAAAGCUGUGCUGUUUUGAUUUAAAGUGACUUCGAGUCUUUUGGUUACCAGCGAAGGACGGUCCCGUCCAAGAGAAUCUAACUUGAGGAAGCCAUGAAAUUUAAUUCAUUUCUGCAACUUAAAUGUAUAAUCAGUGACAUAUGGGAAUACUAAAUACGGGGGGAAAUGUCAUUGCUUAAGUAAAAUUUCUGCGUUCAGUCAAAACCCAGCAGUUGUAACAUCAAACUGCAGUUUCCAUUGUACAGGAAAUAAAGCAUCAUUUUUUCAAAGCAAAUAGACAUGCAAUUGCAUGCCUGUUAUGUUGCUUAUAUAGCUUUAUGCUUAAUUUUCUCCACGUUGCUGUGAGUAAAGGGCCAACAGAAGGGGAACUGGAGGGAGAAGGAACAACACGACGCACCGAGCCUGCUGGAGGGCGCACGGGGGAUGGCUGUGCUGGGAACACGGGCUCUUUCCCCGCUGUUGCCUCCGUGCCUGGGCCAGGGGCACCGCGCUCCAUGGGACCUUCCCCAGAGGGAGCUUUGCAGCUUAUGGUUACAUGAAAGAUUCUGAUUUUUUUUUCCGCCCUCCUCACCCCAGCAGUGUCUCCGAGAGCCUUUUGGCUGCUGCUUCUUCCGCUGAGCUCCAGCUCCUCAUUGGUCUCCGCACACAGCCCCUUCCUCUCUUUCUGUAAUUGCCUUGUUUGCUCCUCCAGCCUUGC